CAGCAGCCGCGGUAAUACGUAGGGUGCAAGCGUUAAUCGGAAUUACUGGGCGUAAAGCGUGCGCAGGCGGUUUUGUAAGACAGAGGUGAAAUCCCCGGGCUCAACCUGGGAACUGCCUUUGUGACUGCAAGGCUAGAGUACGGCAGAGGGGGAUGGAAUUCCGCGUGUAGCAGUGAAAUGCGUAGAUAUGCGGAGGAACACCGAUGGCGAAGGCAAUCCCCUGGGCCUGUACUGACGCUCAUGCACGAAAGCGUGGGGAGCAAACAGGAUUAGAUACCCCGGUAGUCCCUGUCUCUUAUAC
rnacentral:rRNA from 1 species